UACGUAGGGUGCGAGCGUUGUCCGGAAUUAUUGGGCGUAAAGAGCUCGUGGGCGGUCUGUCGCGUCGAUCGUGAAAACUUGGGGCUUAACCCUGAGCUUGCGGUCGAUACGGGCAUGACUGGAGUUCGGCAGGGGAGACUGGAAUUCCUGGUGUAGCGGUGAAAUGCGCAGAUAUCAGGAGGAACACCAGCGGCGAAGGCGCCGCUCUGGGCCGUAACUGACGCUGAGGAGCGAAAGCAUGGGUAGCAAACAGG
rnacentral:rRNA from 1 species